rnacentral:rRNA from 1 species
AUGGCGGAGGAAUCGUGGAGCAACUCCCCUCCGUCUGCCAAGAGAAUGGCGGAGGCAUCGUGGAGCAACUCCCCUCCGUCUGCCAAGCAUCACCAUGGUGAGGCGUCUGGCAAGGAGCCGCUGGUGGUCGACGACGAUGUUCCGGUCCCCGGGCAGAAGCAGGACUACACCGUGCCGCUCAUGGUUGAUAUCCACCUGAAGGAGAAGCUGGAUGUCGUAUGCACCAGCAAUCCAGACGAAGCCGACAAGAGGAUCCGCGACAUGAGGAGGAGGCUCGGCGGCAUGGUUUCUCGGUCGAUCGGCGUUGAUGUCAAGUAUACCAGGGAAGACGAACCUCCGCAAAUGGCUGCAGUUCUGCAGUUAUGCGUGGAGGAUCUCGUCCUGGUAUACCACAUCACCGCGGCAACCAAAUGGCCCAAGGAAUUCCGCCUGCUCCUACAGGAGAAGAAGCUGUACACCUUUGUUGGCUUCUCCAUUGGAGGUGACAAGGAGAAGCUGAAGUUGUCUGGUUUGGAGAUCAAUCCCGACAACCUCAUCCACCCAUCCUACAAGGAAAUGAAGGGGAAGAUCAACAAGAAAUUGGACCACAAAUGA